rnacentral:rRNA from 1 species
CAGUAGCCACGGUAAUACGUAGGUGGCAAGCGUUGUCCGGAAUUAUUUGGCGUAAAGGGCUCGCAGGCGGUUUCUUAAGUCUGAUGUGAAAGCCCCCGGCUCAACCGGGGAGGGUCAUUGGAAACUGGGAAACUUGAGUGCAGAAGAGGAGAGUGGAAUUCCACGUGUAGCGGUGAAAUGCGUAGAGAUGUGGAGGAACACCAGUGGCGAAGGCGACUCUCUGGUCUGUAACUGACGCUGAGGAGCGAAAGCGUGGGGAGCAAACAGGAUUAGAUACCCCGGUAGUCCCUGUCUCUUAUAC